rnacentral:rRNA from 1 species
CAGUAGCCACGGGAAAACGAAGGGUGCAAGCGUUAAUCGGAAUUACUGGGCGUAAAGCGUGCGCAGGCGGUUCGCUAAGACAGAUGUGAAAUCCCCGGGCUUAACCUGGGAACUGCAUUUGUGACUGGCGGGCUAGAGUAUGGCAGAGGGGGGUAGAAUUCCGCGUGUGGCAGUGAAAUGCGUAGAGAUGUGGAGGAAUACCGAUGGCGAAGGCAGCCCCCUGGGCCAAUACUGACGCUCAUGCACGAAAGCGUGGGGAGCAAACAGGAUUAGAUACCCCCGUAGUCCCUGUCUCUUAUAC